GGGAAAGGUGAAAAGCACCCCGACAAGGGGAGUGAAAUAGUUCCUGAAACCGGAUGCCUACAAGCAGUCGGAGGGCGAAAGCCUGACGGCGUACCUUUUGUAUAAUGGGUCAACGACUUAGUGCAGCAAGCAAGCUUAAGCCGAUAGGUGUAGGCGCAGCGAAAGCGAGUCUUAAUAGGGCGACUAGUUUGUUGCAUUAGACCCGAAACCGAGUGAUCUAGCCAUGAGCAGGUUGAAGGUUGGGUAACACCAACUGGAGGACCGAACCCGCAUCUGUUGCAAUAGAUUGGGAUGACUUGUGGUUAGGGGUGAAAGGCCAAUCAAACUCGGAGAUAGCUGGUUCUCCGCGAAAUCUAUUUAGGUAGAGCGUCGACCGAAUACCCUCGGGGGUAGAGCACUGGAUGGGCUAUGGGGACUCACCGUCUUACUGAUCCUAACCAAACUCCGAAUACCGAGGAGUACUAGUCGGCAGACACACGGCGGGUGCUAACGUCCGUCGUGAAAAGGGAAACAACCCAGACCGUCAGCUAAGGUCCCAAAGUUAUGGUUAAGUGGGAAACGAUGUGGGAAGGCUUAGACAGCUAGGAGGUUGGCUUAGAAGCAGCCAUCCUUUAAAGAAAGCGUAAUAGCUCACUAGUCGAGUCGGCCUGCGCGGAAGAUGUAACGGGGCUCAAACCAUACACCGAAGCUACGGGUUCAACGUAAGUUGAGCGGUAGAGGAGCGUUCUGUAAGCCUGUGAAGGUGAGUUGAGAAGCUUGCUGGAGGUAUCAGAAGUGCGAAUGCUGACAUGAGUAACGACAAUGGGAGUGAAAAACUCCCACGCCGAAAGACCAAGGUUUCCUGCGCAACGUUAAUCGACGCAGGGUGAGUCGGCCCCUAAGGCGAGGCAGAAAUGCGUAGUCGAUGGGAAACGGGUUAAUAUUCCCGUACUUCUAAUUACUGCGAUGGAGGGACGGAGAAGGCUAGGCCAGCACGGCGUUGGUUGUCCGUGUUUAAGGUAGUAGGCUGAUUUCUUAGGUAAAUCCGGGAAAUCAAGGCCGAGAACUGAUGACGAGUUAUCUUUUAGAUGACGAAGUGGUUGAUGCCAUGCUUCCAGGAAAAGCUUCUAAGCUUCAGGUAAUUAGGAACCGUACCCCAAACCGACACAGGUGGUUAGGUAGAGAAUACCAAGGCGCUUGAGAGAACUGCGUUGAAGGAACUCGGCAAAUUGCACGCGUAACUUCGGAAGAAGCGUGACCCUCACUCACGCAAGUGGAUGAGGGUGGCACAGACCAGGGGGUAGCGACUGUUUAUCAAAAACACAGGGCUCUGCGAAGUCGCAAGACGACGUAUAGGGCCUGACGCCUGCCCGGUGCUGGAAGGUUAAGAGGAGAGGUUAG
rnacentral:rRNA from 1 species